rnacentral:tRNA from 1 species
GCCCGGAUGGCGGAAUUGGCAGACGCGCCUGACUCAAAAUCAGGUAUCGCAAGAUGUGUGGGUUCGAGACCCUCUCCGGGUACCA